CGCGUAGGCGGGAAUGCAAGUCAGAUGUGAAACUCCGGGCUCAACUUGGAGAUUGCAUUUGAAACUGUGUUUCUUGAGGGCAGGAGAGGAAAGUGGAAUUCCUAGUGUAGCGGUGAAAUGCGUAGAUAUUAGGAGGAACACCAGUGGCGAAGGCGACUUUCUGGACUGUACCUGACGCUGAGGCGCGAAAGCGUGGGUAGCAAACGG
rnacentral:rRNA from 1 species